GACAGCGUGACAUAGUGGUUUGAGUGUUGGAUUGCAACUCUGGAGACCAGGGUUUGAUUCCCAGGUUGGCC